GACGAACGCUGGCGGCGUGCUUAACACAUGCAAGUCGAACGGAAAGGCCCUGCUUGCCGGGUGCUCGAGUGGCGAACGGGUGAGUAACACGUGGGUGAUCUGCCCCUUACUUUGGGAUAAGCCUGGGAAACUGGGUCUAAUACUGGAUAGGACCAUGCUGUAGGUGGUGUGGUGGAAAGAUUAGUUUCGGUAAGGGAUGAGCUCGCGGCCUAUCAGCUUGUUGGUGGGGUAAUGGCCUACCAAGGCGUCGACGGGUAGCCGGCCUGAGAGGGUGGACGGCCACAUUGGGACUGAGAUACGGCCCAGACUCCUACGGGAGGCAGCAGUGGGGAAUAUUGCACAAUGGGCGCAAGCCUGAGGCAGCGACGCCGCGUGGGGGAUGACGGCCUUCGGGUUGUAAACUCCUUUCAGCCAUGACGAAGCCCUUGUGGUGACGGUAGUGGUAGAAGAAGCACCGGCUAACUACGUGC
rnacentral:rRNA from 1 species